GAUGAACGCUGGCGGCGUGCCUAAUACAUGCAAGUCGAGCGAACAGACGAGGAGCUUGCUCCUCUGACGUUAGCGGCGGACGGGUGAGUAACACGUGGAUAACCUACCUAUAAGACUGGGAUAACUUCGGGAAACCGGAGCUAAUACCGGAUAAUAUAUUGAACCGCAUGGUUCAAUAGUGAAAGACGGUUUUGCUGUCACUUAUAGAUGGAUCCGCGCCGCAUUAGCUAGUUGGUAAGGUAACGGCUUACCAAGGCAACGAUGCGUAACCGACCUGAAAGGGUGGUCGGCCACACUGGAACUGAGACACGGUCCAGACUCCUACGGGGGGAAGCAGUAGGGAAUCUUCCGCGAGGGGGGAAAGCCUGACGGAGCAACGCCGCGGGAGUGAUGAAGGUCUUCGGAUCGUAAAACUCUGUUGUUAGGAAGGAACAAAUGUGUAAGUAACUAUGCACAUCUUGACGGUACCUAAUCAGAAAGCCACGGCUAACUACGUG
rnacentral:rRNA from 1 species